AUCAAUAUCCAUUUGAGGUUCCAAAAACUUAUUUGGGAAUGCUAGUUGGUUCAAUUUGUGCAUUAAUGGGUGUUCUUACAAUCGCGCUGCCUGUUCCAGUUAUUGUUUCGAAU
rfam:Anisakis simplex genome assembly, scaffold: ASIM_scaffold0000394